rnacentral:snRNA from 1 species
AGCUUUGCGCAGUGGCAGUAUCGUAGCCAAUGAGGUUUAUCCGAGGCGCGAUUAUUGCUAAUUGAAAACUCCAAGAAAAAAAUUAGGUGACUAGCCCUCCUCUCCCAGAUCAUAUUUUAUUAAUAUGUUAAUAA